rnacentral:tRNA from 1 species
GUCCGGAUCGGAUAGUGGUUAUUCCGUUGCUUUGCUAUGUUCGAGAUUCGAAAGGCAAUGCCGAGAGGCUCGUGAGUUCGAAUCUCACUUCGGACG